AGGAACUUGUGGGAUCCUUUAAGCACUUUGUAUUCAGUUCUGAGGUUCUGGAGGCUCCUUUUCAUUACCAUGAGACGUCGAGGUGCUUUGGGGGAAGUUAGAGAACAUCCAGUAUACUUUAUUCCUCUGAAAUACAGGUUUCACUGAGCUGCAACAAAUCCUCCACAGAACCUCACACCAACAAUGGUGAUUACAGG